rnacentral:rRNA from 1 species
CGCGUGGGAACGUACCCUUCACUACGGAAUAGCUUCUGGAAACGGAAGGUAAUACCGUAUACGCCCUCCGGGGGAAAGAUUUAUCGGUGAAGGAUCGGCCCGCGUUAGAUUAGUUUGUUGGUGGGGUAAUGGCCUACCAAGACUACGAUCUAUAGCUGGUCUGAGAGGAUGAUCAGCCACACUGGGACUGAGACACGGCCCAGACUCCUACGGGAGGCAGCAGUGGGGAAUCUUGCACAAUGGGCGAAAGCCUGAUGCAGCCAUGCCGCGUGAAUGAUGAAGGCCUUAGGGUUGUAAAAUUCUUUCGCCAGGGAUGAUAAUGACAGUACCUGGUAAAGAAGCCCCGGCUAACUUCGUGCCAGCAGCCGCGGUAAUACGAAGGGGGCUAGCGUUGUUCGGAAUUACUGGGCGUAAAGCGCGCGUAGGCGGGCUAUUAAGCCAGAUGUGAAAGCCCGGAGCUCAACUCCGGAAUUGCAUUUGGAACUGGUAGCCUAGAGACCAGGAGAGGUUAGCGGAAUACCGAGUGUAGAGGUGAAAUUCGUAGAUAUUCGGUGGAACACCAGUGGCGAAGGCGGCUAACUGGACUGGUACUGACGCUGAGGCGCGAAAGUGUGGGGAGCAAACAGGAUUAGAUACCCUGGUAGUCCACACCGUAAACGAU